AUUGAACGCUGGCGGCAGGCCUCACACAUGCAAGUCGAACGAGCGGCGGACGGGUGAGUAAUGUCUGGGGAACUGCCCGAUAGAGGGGGAUAACUACUGGAAACGGUGGCUCAUACCGCAUACUAUCAGAUGAACCCAUAUGGGAUUAGCUUGUAGGUGGGGUAAAGGCUCACCAAGGCGACGAUCUCUAGCUGUUCUGCGAGGAUGAUCAGCCACACUGGAACGGAUACACGGCCCAGACUCCUACGGUAGGCAGCAGUGGGGAAUAUUGCACAAUGGGCGCAAGCCUGAUGCAGCCAUGCCGCGUGUAUGAAGAAGGCCUUAGGGUUGUAAAGUAGUUUCAGCUGGGAGGCGUUACCCGCAGAAGAAGCACCGGCUAACUCCGUGCCAGCAGCCGCGGUAAUAC
rnacentral:rRNA from 1 species